rnacentral:rRNA from 1 species
UACAGAGGUCCCGAGCGUUGUUCGGAUUCACUGGGCUUAAAGGGUGCGUAGGCGGGUCUUUAAGUCAGGGGUGAAAUCCUGGAGCUCAACUCCAGAACUGCCUUUGAUACUGAAGAUCUUGAGUUCGGGAGAGGUGAGUGGAACUGCGAGUGUAGAGGUGAAAUUCGUAGAUAUUCGCAAGAACACCAGUGGCGAAGGCGGCUCACUGGCCCGAUACUGACGCUGAGGCACGAAAGCGUGGGGAGCAAACAGG